rnacentral:rRNA from 1 species
UACGUAGGGUGCAAGCGUUGUCCGGAAUUAUUGGGCGUAAAGAGCUCGUAGGCGGUUUGUCGCGUCUGCUGUGAAAACCCGAGGCUCAACCUCGGGCCUGCAGUGGGUACGGGCGGACUGGAGGCCAGUAGGGGGAUGCGGAAUUCCGGGUGUAGUGGUGGAAUGCGUAGAGAUCCGGAGGAACACCAGCGGCGAAGGCGGCAUCCUGGACUGGUCCUGACACUCAGGAGCGAAAGCGUGGGGAGCGAUCCGG